rnacentral:rRNA from 1 species
CGGGUGAGUAACGCGUGAGGAACCUGCCUCAAAGAGGGGGACAACAGUUGGAAACGACUGCUAAUACCGCAUAAGCCCACGGCUCGGCAUCGAGCAGAGGGAAAAAGAGUGAUCCGCUUUGAGAUGGCCUCGCGUCCGAUUAGCUAGUUGGUGAGGUAACGGCCCACCAAGGCGACGAUCGGUAGCCGGACUGAGAGGUUGAACGGCCACAUUGGGACUGAGACACGGCCCAG